rnacentral:tRNA from 1 species
GCGAGGAUGGCGAAACUGGCAGACGCGCAAGACUUAGGAUCUUGUGGUGACCACCGUGCGGGUUCAAGUCCCGCUCCUCGCA